rnacentral:rRNA from 1 species
CCAGGUACCACUCUGAAUGUACCCAAUCUCAUCUGAUCUUGGAAGCUAAGCAGAGUUGGGCCUGGUUACUAUCUGGA